CUGGGAGAAGAAUGUUCAGACUGUAGUCACGGCAAGUGCAAAGGCCCUGAGAGCCUGCAUGUUGCCGACUCCACGGGGACUGAGAGUUUGUCUGUUUUGUUCAUGGCUGUAUCUGCAGCUCCUAGACCAAUGUCUGACACACAGUAGGAUCUUAAUAAAGGCUGUGUUGUGUCUUUGUUGCUGCGUGCAGGCUUUCUCUAGCUGCAGCGAGCAAGGGCUACUCUUUGUUGCGGUUCG